rnacentral:rRNA from 1 species
UGGGGAAUUUUGGACAAUGGGCGAAAGCCUGAUCCAGCAAUGCCGCGUGUGUGAAGAAGGCCUUCGGGUUGUAAAGCACUUUUUGUCCGGAAAGAAAUCCUUGGCUCUAAUACAGUCGGGGGAUGACGGUACCGGAAGAAUAAGCACCGGCUAACUACGUGCCAGCAGCCGCGGUAAUACGUAGGGUGCAAGCGUUAAUCGGAAUUACUGGGCGUAAAGCGUGCGCAGGCGGUUUGCUAAGACCGAUGUGAAAUCCCGGGCUCAACCUGGGAACUGCAUUGGUGACUGGCAGGCUAGAGUAUGGCAGAGGGGGGUAGAACUUCCACGUGUAGCAGUGAAAUGCGUAGAGAUGUGGAGGAAUACC